rnacentral:rRNA from 1 species
UACGAAGGGGGCUAGCGUUGUUCGGAUUUACUGGGCGUAAAGCGCGUGUAGGCGGGCCGUUAAGUUGGGGGUGAAAGCCCGAGGCUCAACCUCGGAACUGCCCUCAAAACUGGCGGCCUGGAGCAGAUGAGAGGCGAGUGGAAUUCCGAGUGUAGAGGUGAAAUUCAUAGAUAUUCGGAGGAACACCAGUGGCGAAGGCGACUCGCUGGCAUCUUGCUGACGCUGAGACGCGAAAGCGUGGGGAGCAAACAGG